rnacentral:rRNA from 1 species
AGAGUUUGAUCCUGGCUCAGAUUGAACGCUGGCGGUAUGCUUAACACAUGCAAGUCGAACGGAAACGAUGGAAGCUUGCUUCCAGGCGUCGAGUGGCGGACGGGUGAGUAACGCGUAGGAAUCUGCCUGAUAGUGGGGGAUAGCCCGGAGAAAUCCGGAUUAAUACCGCAUAAUCUCUACGGAGUAAAGGAGGCCUCUAUUUAUAUGCUUUCGCUAUCAGAUGAGCCUGCGUAAGAUUAGCUAGUUGGUGAGGUAAAAGCUCACCAAGGCAACGAUCUUUAGCUGGUCUGAGAGGAUGAUCAGCCACAUCGGGACUGAGACACGGCCCGAACUCCUACGGGAGGCAGCAGUGGGGAAUAUUGGACAAUGGGGGCAACCCUGAUCCAGCAAUACCGCGUGUGUGAAGAAGGCCUGAGGGUUGUAAAGCACUUUCAAUUGUGAAGAAAAGUUAACGGUUAAUAACCGUUGACCUUGACGUUAACUUUAGAAGAAGCACCGGCUAACUCCGUGCCAGCAGCCGCGGUAAUACGGAGGGUGCAAGCGUUAAUCGGAAUUACUGGGCGUAAAGCGUGCGUAGGCGGUUUAUUAAGUCAGAUGUGAAAGCCCCGGGCUUAACCUGGGAACUGCAUUUGAAACUGGUCAACUAGAGUAUGGUAGAGGAAAGUGGAAUUUCUGGUGUAGCGGUGAAAUGCGUAGAUAUCAGAAGGAACAUCAAUGGCGAAGGCAGCUUUCUGGACCAAUACUGACGCUGAGGUACGAAAGCGUGGGUAGCAAACAGGAUUAGAUACCCUGGUAGUCCACGCCGUAAACGAUGAUAACUAGCCGUUGGGGGGAUUUACCCUUUAGUGGCGAAGCUAACGCGUUAAGUUAUCCGCCUGGGGAGUACGGCCGCAAGGCUAAAACUCAAAGGAAUUGACGGGGACCCGCACAAGCGGUGGAGCAUGUGGUUUAAUUCGAUGCAACGCGAAGAACCUUACCUGGUCUUGACAUCCUGCGAACUUUCUAGAAAUAGAUUGGUGCCUUCGGGAACGCAGUGACAGGUGCUGCAUGGCUGUCGUCAGCUCGUGUCGUGAGAUGUUGGGUUAAGUCCCGUAACGAGCGCAACCCCUAUCCUUAUUUGCCAGCACAUUAUGGUGGGAACUAUAAGGAGACUGCCGGUGAUAAACCGGAGGAAGGCGGGGACGACGUCAAGUCAUCAUGGCCCUUACGACCAGGGCUACACACGUGCUACAAUGGGAAGGACAAAGAGCCGCGAAGCCGCGAGGUGUAGCUAAUCUCAUAAAUCUUUUCGUAGUCCGGAUUGGAGUCUGCAACUCGACUCCAUGAAGUCGGAAUCGCUAGUAAUCGUAGAUCAGAAUGCUACGGUGAAUACGUUCCCGGGUCUUGUACACACCGCCCGUCACGCCAUGGAAGCCGGUAGUGCCCAACGCCAGUGUCCCAACCUUCGGGAGGGAACUGUCUAAGGUAAGAUCGGUAACUGGGGCGAAGUCGUAACAAGGUAACC